CAGCCGCCACGGGAAUACGGAGGGUGCAAGCGUUAAUCGGAAUUACUGGGCGUAAAGCGCACGCAGGCGGUCUGACAAGUCAGAUGUGAAAUCCCCGGGCUUAACCUGGGAACUGCAUUUGAAACUGUCAGGCUGGAGUCUUGUAGAGGGGGGUGGAAUUCCAGGUGUAGCGGUGAAAUGCGUAGAGAUCUGGAGGAAUACCGGUGGCGAAGGCGGCCCCCUGGACAAAGACUGACGCUCAGGUGCGAAAGCGUGGGGAGCAAACAGGAUUAGAUACCCGGGUAGUCCCUGUCUCUUUACA
rnacentral:rRNA from 1 species